CCUCGUGGUGCCCAAGGGCAGGGCCGACAGGGCCAGGCUCCGGCCCAAGGGCCGUGGGGCUAUCACUUCUGGUCAAGUCAGUAAGUUCCUCCACCUGUGCCAGCGGAGGGACCUGGCCAACCCCUGACAGGAGCCAGGCUGAGGAUGAGAUCAGCCCAGGACAGAUCAGCACUGGGGGUCUGGCUCCUGCUCUCCAGUUUCCCGCUCUCCAGUUUGCCGCUCCCAGGGUCCUGAGGAACUUGGGGCAGGCAGAGCCCUCGCCAGCCGGCCCCUCAGGCAAUGCCUGCUGGCUAUAAGCCGCACCCAUGACAACAGUGCACACACACUCUGUGGGACCACCAACCCAGACCAGCACGGCCUGCCUUCUGCCGUGAAGUUUGGCACCACUGUCGCCCUCCUCAUGCUGGCGUGCAGCUGCAACUCAGGUGAGAACAGGGGUCCCUCUCUCUCCCCGCCAACAGCACAGGACCCCACAGACAGAAAGGCCUGGUGUGGGGAGGAGACACCAUAGAGGUGAGCGUGGAGAUCACAUACAGGAGCAAGGAGAUCGCGCGCAGCACAUGCACUCACA
rnacentral:lncRNA from 1 species